UGCAACACGUGACCAUCAGAUCGAACAGGACGAGGAAGCAAAGGGAACAGACAGUUAUCCCAUAAUCCUCAGGGUGUUGAUUCAAUUGUAGGUCAUCUUCACUACCGAAUGUCUCUUGUAGGAUGUCCAAACUAGGUCUGGUUUUACCGAGUCAAAAGUUGCUUCUGAAAUGCAUUGAUCAAUUUAGCAGACUAUGUUUCAUGGCGUACCUAAUACUAAUGUUGGAUGCAAUCUUGGAGUUUGGCGAGUCGGAGUGUCAUUGGGGCAGACGCAGAGGCUCGACCGUUCCGCCGGUCACCUUCGACAUGAGCUACUGGUGCGAAAUCUGGUGCACGGAACAGAUGGGAGGCAAUUUGUGCAACUGUAGAAUCGCCCCAUUCCCAGGGUAGCCUUUACCCUGCGCCACAUUUUUGUCUUCACGUUGAGCCAAUAUGUUUGGUUGUACGAGGUUCAAAUUGCAUUGAAAUGAUGAAUAAAAUACUACAUCUGAACAUA
rnacentral:sRNA from 1 species